rnacentral:rRNA from 1 species
GAGUGCGCGGUUGUAGCAAUACAACUGGCGCACGGCGCACGGGUGCGUAACACGUGGGCAAUCUGCCCUCCGAUGGGGAAUAACUCCGGGAAACCGAAGCUAAUUCCGCAUAACAUUCCCUGGACUCCGGUUCGGGGAAUCAAAGCAGUGAUGCGUCGGAGGAGGAGCCCGCGCCCGAUUAGCUAGUUGGCAGGGUAACGGCCUACCAAGGCAAUGAUCGGUAGCUGGUCUGAGAGGAUGGCCAGCCACACUGGAACUGAGACACGGUCCAGACUCCUACGGGAGGCAGCAGUGGGGAAUCUUGCGCAAUGGGCGAAAGCCUGACGCAGCGACGCCGCGUGGGGGAUGAAGCUUCUCGGAGUGUAAACCCCUUUCGACUGGGACGAAUGCCCGCAAGGGAGUGACGGUACCAGUAGAAGAAGCCCCGGCUAACUACGUG